UGGGGAAUAUUGGACAAUGGGGGGAACCCUGAUCCAGCCAUGCCGCGUGUGUGAAGAAGGCCUUAUGGUUGUAAAGCACUUUAAGCGAGGAGGAGGGUACUGGUAUUAAUACUACCAGGUACUGGACGUUACUCGCAGAAUAAGCACCGGCUAACUCUGUGCCAGCAGCCGCGGUAAUACAGAGGGUGCGAGCGUUAAUCGGAUUUACUGGGCGUAAAGCGUGCGUAGGCGGCUAAUUGAGUCGGAUGUGAAGUCCCCGUGCUUAACUUGGGGAUUGCAUGCGAUACUGGUUAGCUAGGGUGUGGGGGAGGAUGGUAGAGUUCCAGGUGUGGCGGUGAGAUGCGUAGAGGUCUGGAGGAAUACCGAUGGCGAAGGCAGCGAGCUGGCCUAACACUGACGCUGAGGUACGAAAGCAUAGGGAGCAAACAGG
rnacentral:rRNA from 1 species